rnacentral:rRNA from 1 species
UACGGGGGGGGCAAGCGUUGUUCGGAAUUACUGGGCGUAAAGGGCUCGUAGGCGGCCAACUAAGUCAGACGUGAAAUCCCUAGGCUCAACCUAGGAACUGCGUCUGAUACUGGAUGGCUUGAAUCCGGGAGAGGGAUGCAGAAUUCCAGGUGUAGCGGUGAAAUGCGUAGAUAUCUGGAGGAAUACCGGUGGCGAAGGCGGCAUCCUGGACCGGUAUUGACGCUGAGGCGCGAAAGCCAGGGGAGCAAACGGG